rnacentral:rRNA from 1 species
AGAGUUUGAUCCUGGCUCAGGACGAACGCUGGCGGCGCGCCUAACACAUGCAAGUCGAACGAGAGAUGAGGAGCUUGCUCUUCAAAUCGAGUGGCGAACGGGUGAGUAACGCGUGAGGAACCUGCCUCAAAGAGGGGGACAACAGUUGGAAACGACUGCUAAUACCGCAUAAGCCCACGGCUCGGCAUCGAGCAGAGGGAAAAGGAGCAAUCCGCUUUGAGAUGGCCUCGCGUCCGAUUAGCUAGUUGGUGAGGUAACGGCCCACCAAGGCGACGAUCGGUAGCCGGACUGAGAGGUUGAACGGCCACAUUGGGACUGAGACACGGCCCAGACUCCUACGGGAGGCAGCAGUGGGGAAUAUUGCACAAUGGGGGAAACCCUGAUGCAGCGACGCCGCGUGGAGGAAGAAGGUCUUCGGAUUGUAAACUCCUGUUGUUGAGGAAGAUAAUGACGGUACUCAACAAGGAAGUGACGGCUAACUACGUGCCAGCAGCCGCGGUAAAACGUAGGUCACAAGCGUUGUCCGGAAUUACUGGGUGUAAAGGGAGCGCAGGCGGGAGAACAAGUUGGAAGUGAAAUCCAUGGGCUCAACCCAUGAACUGCUUUCAAAACUGUUUUUCUUGAGUAGUGCAGAGGUAGGCGGAAUUCCCGGUGUAGCGGUGGAAUGCGUAGAUAUCGGGAGGAACACCAGUGGCGAAGGCGGCCUACUGGGCACCAACUGACGCUGAGGCUCGAAAGUGUGGGUAGCAAACAGGAUUAGAUACCCUGGUAGUCCACACCGUAAACGAUGAUUACUAGGUGUUGGAGGAUUGACCCCUUCAGUGCCGCAGUUAACACAAUAAGUAAUCCACCUGGGGAGUACGACCGCAAGGUUGAAACUCAAAGGAAUUGACGGGGGCCCGCACAAGCAGUGGAGUAUGUGGUUUAAUUCGACGCAACGCGAAGAACCUUACCAAGUCUUGACAUCCCUUGACGAUGCUGGAAACAGCAUUUCUCUUCGGAGCAAGGAGACAGGUGGUGCAUGGUUGUCGUCAGCUCGUGUCGUGAGAUGUUGGGUUAAGUCCCGCAACGAGCGCAACCCU